rnacentral:rRNA from 1 species
UACGUAGGUGGCAAGCGUUGUCCGGAUUUACUGGGCGUAAAGGGCGUGCAGGCGGUUUGUUAAGUGCAGGGUGAAAGCUCCCGGCUCAACUGGGAGAGGUCCUUGCAUACUGGCGAACUCGAGGGAGGCAGAGGAAAGUGGAAUUCCCGGUGUAGUGGUGAUAUGCGUAGAUAUCGGGAGGAACACCUGUGGCGAAGGCGGCUUUCUGGGCCUUACCUGACGCUGAGACGCGAAAGCGUGGGUAGCAAACAGG